CCUACGGGUGGCAGCAGUGGGGAAUAUUGGGCAAUGGGCGCAAGCCUGACCCAGCAACGCCGCGUGAAGGAAGAAGGCUUUCGGGUUGUAAACUUCUUUUCUCAGGGACGAAGCAAGUGACGGUACCUGAGGACUAAGCCACGGCUAACUACGUCACAGCAGCCGCGGUAAUACGUAGGUGGCAAGCGUUAUCCGGAUUUACGGGGUGUAAGGGGCGUGUAGGCGGGACUGCAAGUAAGAUGUGAAAGCCACGGGCUCAACCUGUGGCCUGCAUUUGAAACUGUAGUUCUUGAGUACUGGAGAGGCAGACGGAAUUCCUGGUGUAGCGGUGAAAUGCGUAGAUAUUAGGAGGAACACCAGUGGCGAAGGCGGUCUGCUGGACAGCAACUGACGCUGAGGCGCGAAAGCGUGGGGAGCAAACAGGAUUAGAUACCCGAGUAGUC
rnacentral:rRNA from 1 species